GUGCUCGCUUCAGCAGCACAUAUACUAAAAUUGAAACAAUGCAGAGAAGAUUAGCAUGGCCCCUGUGCAAGGAUGACAUGCAAAUUCGCAAAGCAUAGAAAUAGAAA